rnacentral:rRNA from 1 species
AUUGAACGCUGGCGGCGUGCCUAACACAUGCAAGUCGAGCGGUAACAGGUGUAGCAAUACAUGCUGACGAGCGGCGAACGGGUGAGUAAUGCUUCGGAAUCUGCCCAUGUAGUGGGGAAUAACCAGCCGAAAGGUUGGCUAAUACCGCAUACGACCCUUGCCCACAAGGCAAAGGUGAAAGCAGGGGAUCGCAAGACCUUGCGCUAUUGGAUGAGCCGAAGUCGGAUUAGCUAGUUGGUAGGGUAACGGCCUACCAAGGCGACGAUCCGUAGCUGGUCUGAGAGGACGACCAGCCACACUGGGACUGAGACACGGCCCAGACUCCUACGGGAGGCAGCAGUAGGGAAUCUUGCGCAAUGGGCGAAAGCCCGACGCAGCCAUGCCGCGUGAAUGAUGAAGGUCUUAGGAUUGUAAAAUUCUUUCACCGGGGAAGAUAAUGACGGUACCCGGAGAAGAAGCCCCGGCUAACUUCGUGCCAGCAGCCGCCGU